rnacentral:rRNA from 1 species
AUACGUAGGUGACAAGCGUUAUCCGGAUUUACUGGGCGUAAAGGGCGUGUAGGCGGUCUUGCAAGUCAGAAGUGAAAUUCCUGAGCUCAACUCGGGCGCUGCUUCUGAAACUGCAGGACUUGAGUGCUGGAGGGGAUAGCGGAAUUCCUAGUGGAGCGGUAAAAUGCGCAGAUAUUAGGAAGAACACCGGUGGCGAAGGCGGCUAUCUGGACAGUAACGGACGCUGAGGCGCGAAAGCGUGGGGAGCAAACAGGAUUAGAUCCCCUGGUAGUCCACGCCGUAAACGAUGGGUACUAGGUGUAGGAGGUAUCGACCCCUUCUGUGCCGGAGUUAACGCAAUAAGUACCCCGCCUGGGGACUACGGUCGCAAGACUAAAACUCAAAGGAAUUGACGGGG